rnacentral:sRNA from 1 species
UUUUUUUCUUCUAUUUUUU